rfam:Vitis vinifera, whole genome shotgun sequence of line PN40024, unoriented chromosome 18, chr18
GAAGGCAAAUGAUGAAAAUAGUCUUAUCCUACACUCUGAAGUUAAUGUAGACUAUAACUCCGCUUAUUAUCUGAUGCCUUC